UGGGGAAUAUUGGACAAUGGGCGCAAGCCUGAUCCAGCAAUGCCGCGUGGGUGAUGAAGGCCUUCGGGUUGUAAAGCUCUUUCGCACGCGACGAUGAUGACGGUAGCGUGAGAAGAAGCCCCGGCUAACUUCGUGCCAGCAGCCGCGGUAAUACGAAGGGGGCUAGCGUUGUUCGGAAUUACUGGGCGUAAAGGGCGCGUAGGCGGUGUGUCAAGUCAGGCGUGAAAGCCCCGGGCUCAACCUGGGAACCGCGCUUGAGACUGGCACGCUAGAGUUCGGGAGAGGAUGGUGGAAUUCCCAGUGUAGAGGUGAAAUUCGUAGAUAUUGGGAAGAACACCGAUGGCGAAGGCAGCCAUCUGGACCGACACUGACGCUGAGGCGCGAAAGCGUGGGGAGCAAACAGGAUUAGAUACCCUGGUAGUCCACGCCGUAAACGAUGAGUGCUAGACGUUGGGGCCCUCAGGGCUUCGGUGUCGCAGCUAACGCGUUAAG
rnacentral:rRNA from 1 species